GUGGGGAAUUUUGGACAAUGGGGGAAACCCUGAUCCAGCGACGCCGCGUGAAGGACGAAGGCCUUCGGGUUGUAAACUUCUUUUGGAGGGGACGAAUAAAUUGACGGUACCCUCAGAAAAAGCCACGGCUAACUACGUGCCAGCAGCCGCGGUAAUACGUAGGUGGCGAGCGUUACUCGGAAUUACUAGGCGUAAAGCGUAUGUAGGUGGUCAGAUAAGUCUAUGGUGAAAUUUCCUGGCUCAACUGGGAAGGGACAUAGAUACUAUCUGGCUUGAGUGUGGGAGGGGAAGACGGAAUUCCUGGUGUAGCGGUGAAAUGCGUAGAUAUCAGGAGGAACACCGAUGGCGAAAGCAGUCUUCUGGCCCAAUACUGACACUGAGGUACGAAAGCUAGGGUAGCAAAAAGGAUUAGAAACCCUGGUAGUCC
rnacentral:rRNA from 1 species